UACGGAGGGUGCAAGCGUUAUCCGGAUUCACUGGGUUUAAAGGGUGCGUAGGAGGGCAGGUAAGUCAGUGGUGAAAUCUCCAAGCUUAACUUGGAAACUGCCGUUGAUACUAUCUGUCUUGAAUAUCGUGGAGAUGAGCGGAAUAUGUCAUGUGGCGGUGAAAUGCUUAGAUAUGACAUAGAACACCAAUUGCGAAGGCAGCUCGUUUACACGAAUAUUGACUCUGAGGCACGAAAAGCGUGGGGGAUCAAAACAGG
rnacentral:rRNA from 1 species